rnacentral:rRNA from 1 species
CCUACGGGAGGCAGCAGUGGGGAAUAUUGGGCAAUGGGCGCAAGCCUGACCCAGCAACGCCGCGUGAAGGAAGAAGGAUUUCGGGUUGUAAACGUCUAUUAUCAGGGACGAAGAAAGUGACGGUACAUGAGGAAUAAGCCACGGCGAACUACGCGCCAGCAGCCGCGGUAAUACGAAGGUGGCAAGCGUUAUGCGGAUUUAUUGGGUGUAAAGGGCGAGUAGGCGGGAGCGCAAGUCAGAGGUGAAAACUCAGGGCUCAACCCUGAGCCUGCAUUUGAAACUGUGUUUCUUGAGUGCUGGAGAGGCAAUCGGAAUUCCUGGUGUAGCGGUGAAAUGCGUAGAUAUACGGAGGAACACCAGUGGCGAAGGCGGAUUGCUGGACAGUAACUGACGCUGAGGCGCGAAAGCGUGGGGAGCAAACAGGAUUAGAUACCCUGGUAGUC